UACGUAGGGUGCGAGCGUUGUCCGGAAUUACUGGGCGUAAAGAGCUCGUAGGUGGUUUGUCGCGUUGUCCGUGAAAACUCACAGCUCAACUGUGGGCGUGCGGGCGAUACGGGCAGACUGGAGUACUGCAGGGGAGACUGGAAUUCCUGGUGUAGCGGUGAAAUGCGCAGAUAUCAGGAGGAACACCGGUGGCGAAGGCGGGUCUCUGGGCAAUAACUGACGCUGAGGAGCGAAAGCGUGGGGAGCGAACAGG
rnacentral:rRNA from 1 species